rnacentral:lncRNA from 1 species
CGGGGCCUUUGUCUCUCACUGCACCUGGAGCUCCAGGUCUCAUCUUCACUACUCUGUGUCCUCUGCUGCUGGAGGCCCAGCCCUGUGACCUGACGGUUUUGGGAGAUCCACAGCUAAGACGCCAGGACCUCCUGGAAGCCUAGAAAUGAGUUUUCGCUCUGUUGCCAGACUGGAGUGAGGUCCUACAGUUGUGCAGCCGCGCGAUCUGGGCUCACUGCAACCUCCACCUCCCGGGUUCAAGCAAUUAUCCUGCCUCAGCCUCCUGAGUAGCUGGAACUACAGUCAUGUGCCACCAUGCCCAGCUAGAGAGGUUUCACCAUGUUGGCCAGGAUGGCCUGGAUCUCUUGACCUCGUGAUCCGCCCGCCUCUGCGUUCCAAAGUGCUGGGAUUACAGGUGUGAGCCACCGUGUCUGGCGCCUCUUUUUCUUUUAUUUUUCCAGAGAACUUACCGGAAUGUUUUUGGGUCAAGAUUACCCUUUGGAAACUUUGUAGGAUGAUGUGUCCUCAGCCAACCUUCAGUUUUUUUCUGGUCCUGGGUUUUAGUACUUUCUGGGAAUAAACCAACAUACCCACUAUGGCUAUGUCUGCUAGAGUGUCUAGUGACUAUUAUCUCUUGGGUCAUUUUCUCCCAUAGGACCACCUGAAGCAUGGAGUGUAGACUUUCAAGGGAGCAGGUGGCAGCCUUGGGGCUGAAAGGCAUCUUCUGGUGCACUUUUUUUUUUUUGAAAAGCUAACCCCUUGAGACAUGAAGAUUGUCUUCACUCAACCUGGCUUUCAUUUCUAGGAGACACAUUGCUGGUCAGUCAAUCAGAUGCUGGUAUUGAGGGGAAAACAAAUAAUUUCUGUCUUCUGGAUUAUCUUGUGGGAGGGGCAGAAAAAUAGUGAAAAAACACUCCAAAAGACAAAAAACUGACCCCAGUGAGAUGGCAUAAAUAACUUACAAAGUAAAAUGCACCUGGGGCACUCACUGGGGCAUAGUGCAGUGUCUCCUGGGAGGGUGGUUAUUGCGCAUGUAAGUGAACAGGAUGGGGUGGGUGAUUGGAUCUGUACCUUGAAAAGAUUUGUUUACUUAUUUUGACCUCAGUUUUUUUUUAGACAGUCUCCCUCUGUUGCAUAGGCUGGAAUGCAGUGGCUUGAUCUCAGCUCACUGCAACCUCUACCUCCUGGGUUCAAGUGAUUCUCCUGCCUCAGCCUCCCGUGCAGCUGGGAUUACAAGCAUGCAACACCAAGCCUGGGUAGGUUUUUGUAUUUUUAGUAGAGAUGGGGUCUCACCAUGUUGGCCAGCUUGAUCUUGACCUCAGGUGAUCCACCUGCCUCACUCUUCCAAAGUACUGGGAUUACAGGCAUGAGCCAUAAACACUGUAUUCUACAAUCCUAUGAAUAUUAAGCCACAAUACUUACUUUGAA